GAUGAACGCUGGCGGCGUGCCUAAUACAUGCAAGUCGAGCGAACGGACGAGACGCUUGCUUCUCUGAUGUUAGCGGCGGACGGGUGAGUAACACGUGGAUAACCUACCUAUAAGACUGGGACAACUUCGGGAAACCGGAGCUAAUACCGGAUAAUAUUUUGAACCGCAUGGUUCAAAAGUGAAUUACGGUCUUGCUGUCACUUCUAGAUGGAUCCGCGCUGCAUUGGCUAGUUGGUAAGGUAACGGCUUACCAAGGCAACGAUGCAUUGCCGACCUGGGGGGGUGAUCGGCCACACGGGAGCUGAGCCGCGGUCCAGGCUCCUACGGGAGGCAGCAGUAGGGAAUCUUCCGCAAUGGGCGAAAGCCUGACGGAGCGACGCCGCGUGAGUGAUGAAGGUCUUCGUAUCGUAAAACUCUGUUAUUAGGGAAGAACAUAUGUGUAAGUAACUGUGCACAUCUUGACGGUACCUAGUCAGAAAGCCCCGGCUAACUACGUG
rnacentral:rRNA from 1 species